rnacentral:tRNA from 1 species
GGGCGGUUAGCUCAGCGGUAGAGCACUGCAUUCACAUUGCAGGGGUCACAAGUUCAAAUCUUGUACCGCCCA